ACGAAGGUGGCAAGCGUUGUUCGGGUUUACUGGGCGUACAGGGAGCGUAGGCGGUUGGAUAAGCCCUCCGUGAAAUCUCCAGGCUUAACCUGGAAAGUGCAGAGGGGACUGUUCAGCUAGAGGAUGGGAGAGGAGCGCGGAAUUCCCGGUGUAGCGGUGAAAUGCGUAGAUAUCGGGAGGAACAUCCGUGGCGAAGGCGGCUACCUGGACCAGCACUGACACUGAGGCACGAAAGCGUGGGGAGCAAACAGGA
rnacentral:rRNA from 1 species